rnacentral:lncRNA from 1 species
AUAAAAGAAGAUAUUUGGAAAUCAAUGGGGGCCAUCAACUUAAGGGUGAAUAAAUGAUGACAGAAUUUUCAAUUUAGGUUGAACUAUCCCUUUAACUCUGGACGAUGUUAAUUCAUUUUAAUCUUAUUUAGUUUAGUUCAUUCAUUCUUAAGUUACCGGUCAUCCAUAUGUUUGUUCAGUAUUAACAUGAGUAUCUUUCUCUUCAUAGGUGGUUCAGACUAAUAAAUCAGCCUCUGUGCCAUCUUAUGCUAGCAGACCGCCACCACCUCGGAUUGCACGACCACCUGCUCCAACCAAACAUCUGAUGCCUCAGAGACCAGCGCCUGCACCUCCAGUAUAACACACAACACACACAUCCGACAGACAGUUGUAUUUCUGUCUGGGAUGGACGGGCCAAGUGUGAAAUGUGCAGUGGGAGGAGUCGAGGAAGAAUCAGGUGGUUGCAACCUCUCCCCCACAUAUUUUCCCCCUCCGUCUGCAAACAGCUGUCAGCUGUCAAUCAAACAGAGAGACAGUCACUGCUGCAAAAGAAACCUCUGCUCACAAUACAUCACAGAGUGUGUGAUGGGUGCGAGAAAAACUCUUUAGCCAAUUAAACACCUUCCACCUGUCACCUGACAAAAGAUGUCUAUGUCAACACACCGAUCUCCUUAAUUGUGUUACGAUUCUUAUGUGCUAUAUAGGACCACUGCGACUGAUUGCACUUCAGUAAUAUCCACUGUUUAUAGGAAUGUACAGAGACCCCACUGUUUAUAGGAAUGUACAGAGACCCUUUUAUCAUAGGCUAUCAUGUUCAUUUGUUCCCCUUUUUUCUUUUCUUUUCACACUUUUUUUUGCAAAUUAUAUCACAUUCAAUCAUUUUUUUUCCCUUAAAAAACUUGUUGUAAUAUAUAAAAUCCAAAUGUGAUAAUUCAGUUAAUGAGGCAUCCUUAACAUUUUGCAAGGUUAUCAAGUCAUUAGUAGUAUCUAAAUGGCUCAUGGUAACUGCAAAUCGUUGUCUUUUGCACCGUGGUGCAUAAUAUUUUUUUAAAACAGCAGUGCAAGAUGAAGUGAUUUUGUUUUUAACAUUUGAAGUUGUUGUUACCCAACACAGUGAUUUAAAUCUAUAAUUUUACCAUUUAUACAUAGCUUUAUUUACAUACUUUUAUUUAUACACAACUUUUAUAGAAAAUCUAUUUUUUACUUUAAUUGCCAAGUGAAAUUUUGUCCCUGCUGAGGUGAAAAUCAGGUAAACAUGAAAACUUGUUUUUGAAAAUGACUGAUUUGUAACACUUUAUGUUUGACUGCUGGUUUUAGUGUGGUGUUACCUUCUUCUUCUUUUUUUUAUCACAGACAACAAUAACAAUGAAAGCAAAAUAGAAGCUUUUCUCCUAUUGUUUUCAAGGGCUACAUGACUUUAUGCAUGAUAUUACAUACUAUGCCAUAAACACAAAGUCUCUUCCUUGCUGAAACUGUUAAGUUAUAACAAAAAGAACAUUUUGUCUGCAUGUUUCAUAGACCUCUGUUUGUGACGGUUGUAAUACCACAAGAGGUAGAGAAUGUGUAUAAAGUCAUGCACCCUCAAACACACACAAACAUGUCUGUUGUAGAGCACAUUGGACAGAUUCCUCGUACUAGGACAUUUCCAUCACAGCUAAAUCAGCCAAGUGCCAUACAAUACAUGUCUAAAAAACAAUGAGUGUUAUUUUAUAUCUGUGUAUUAUGUUAAUGUGUAUGAUUGACUGAAUGAAUGAUAGAUUCCCCUCUUCUUGCACUGUAUUUCCAUUUGUGUGUAAUGACUGUAGCAGUUGUGGAUUCUGGAUUAUUGAUGUUUUAUGGAUCAAGGAUAGACUCUACCUUCAGUGUGAUGGUUGAUGAUUUCGGGUUUUGCAUAUGAAAAUAAAAAUCAUUGGUAUGUUUUUAAUUUGUGGUUAAGUGUAUUUUAAAUAUCAUUUACACAGCAUUGCAAAUAAGUUCGGGUCAGCUACCGCAUGAUACUACAGUGCUUUCAUCAUACAUACGUAUAUAACCAUAAAAAUUAGCAAAAACAUAUUUACUUAAGCAUAUUAUUCAAAAUCUAUCUUGAGACUAGUGAUAUCGAACUCAUACCCAAAUAUUUUUUGAGACUGAACUUUUCAGUGAAUCGGUGUCAUGAACUAGUCAGCCAUGUUAAUUGAAAAAUGUAUUGAGCAAGUUAUUGAUCACAAAAAAAAUAAUAAUAAUUGUAGCUUACGGUACCAGUUGCAUGUACUUUUGGUCAAAAACAGUAAAAAGGCUUGCUAUAAAAAAUACUAUUGUCAGUGUUUUUUUAGUAUGUGUUUGUAUACAAUAAUAUUUAUUAAUAUCAGUUAAUGAAUUCAACUUUUUAAUAUCAAUUUAAUAAAUUCUUCAAAUUUUAUAUUUUCAGUUUUUAUUUUUCAAGUUUUACUGUGCUUUAGUCAUUUUUAUUAGUUUAGUUUUUUCUACAUAUUUCUAUUGAGCUUUUUAUUGCUUUUUUAUUGUUUUAGUAGUUUUAGUACUUAUUUUAGUUAGUUAACAAGGCAGCGUUUCUGAUUUUUGUUAAAGUUUUUGUUUAAGGUUUUCAUCUAAUAUUUAGAUUUUAUCUUAUUUUAGCGUCAUUUAAAUUAAUAAUAAUAAUAAUAACAUUUUUAAUAGUUAUAGUUUUAGAUAACAAUAACAACACUUCUCAUUUUUACUGGUUCAUGAAAACACCCAAGGAGCUUCAAAAACACAUUUGCCAUAACUCUCUGAAGCACGAGAAUGAUUAAAUGCAUAAUCA